AUACGGAAGGCGCGAACGUUGUUCGGAAUCACUGGGCAUAAAGAGCUCGUAGGCGGUUUGUCAAGUCAGUGGUGAAAUCCCUCGGCUCAACCGAGGAAUUGCCAUUGAAACUGGCCGACUCGAGGGCAGGAGGGGAGAGCGGAAUUCCUGGUGGAGCGGUGAAAUGCGUAGAUAUCAGGAGGAACGCCGGCGGCGAAAGCGGCUCUCUGGCCUGUUCCUGACGCUGAGGAGCGAAAGCUAGGGUAGCAAACAGGAUUAGAAACCCCUGUAGUCC
rnacentral:rRNA from 1 species